AGCCGCGUACGGGGCGGCGCUCGGCGGCGCCCGGGCCGCCGUGCUGACCCGGCUCUGGCGGGCACUGGCGUUCGAGCCGCUGCCGUGGGUG
rnacentral:tRNA from 1 species